rnacentral:lncRNA from 1 species
UGGCCGUUAUGGAAUAACCGUUUCACAAAUGAUAUCGGAUAUGUUCCUUACGUCGUAACUACAAUCCCCUUCCCUUUCAUGAAUGUGACCUACCGAAUUAGACUAUUUACCGGAUUUGUUAUCACAUAAGCAACACGACGGGUGCCACAUGUGGAGCCGGAUCUGCUUACCCUUCCGGAGCACCUGAGAUCACCCCUAGUUUUUGGUGGGGUUCGUG